GACGAACGCUGGCGGCGUGCCUAAUACAUGCAAGUCGAACGCAGUGGGGACGGGUGAGUAACACGUGGGUAACCUCCCAUCAGAAGGGAUAACACUUGGAAACAGGUGCUAAACCGAUACUGAUAGCUGAACCCGCGGUGCAUUAGCUAGUUGGUGAGGUAACGGCUCACCAAGGCGACGAUCCAUAGCCGACCUGAGAGGGUGAUCGGCCACACUGGGACUGAGACACGGCCCAGACUCCUACGGGAGGCAGCAGUAGGGAAUAUUCGGCAAUGGACGAAAGUCUGACGGAGCAACGCCGCGUGAGUGAAGAAGGUUUUCGGAUCGUAAAGCACUGUCAGUAGAGAGGCGUUAUCUAACCAGAAAGCCACGGCUAACUACGUGCCAGCAGCCGCGGUAAUUC
rnacentral:rRNA from 1 species